rnacentral:rRNA from 1 species
UGCAGUCGUACGAGAGUUUUUAACUCAAGUGGCGACGGGUGAGUAACACGUAAGAAUUUACCUUUAGGAGGGGGAUAACAACUGGAAACGGUUGCUAAUACCCCAUAUGCUUUCGAGUGAAAUGGAUUUUUCCGCCUAGAGAGAAGCUUGCGGCUGAUUAGCUUGUUGGUGAGGUAAUGGCUCACCAAGGCGACGAUCAGUAUCUGGUUUGAGAGGACGAUCAGACACACUGGAACUGAGACACGGUCCAGACUCCUACGGGAGGCAGCAGUGGGGAAUUUUCCGCAAUGGGCGAAAGCCUGACGGAGCAAUACCGCGUGAGGGAUGACGGCCUAUGGGUUGUAAACCUCUUUUUUCAGGGAGGAAUCAAUGACGUGUACCUGAAGAAUAAGCAUCGGCUAACUCCGUGCCAGCAGCCGCGGUAAGACGGAGGAUGCAAGUGUUAUCCGGAAUCACUGGGCGUAAAGCGUCUGUAGGUGGUUUAACAAGUCAACUGUUAAAUCUUGAGGCCCAACCUCAAAAUCGCAGUCGAAACUAUUAGACUAGAGUAUAGUAGGGGUAAAGGGAAUUUCCAGUGGAGCGGUGAAAUGCGUAGAGAUUGGAAAGAACACCGAUGGCGAANGCACUUUACUGGGCUAUUACUAACACUCAGAGACGAAAGCUAGGGUAGCAAAUGGGAUUAGAUACCCCAGUAGUCCUAGCUGUAAACAAUGGAUACUAGAUGUUGAACAGAUCGACCUGUGCAGUAUUAAAGCUAACGCGUUAAGUAUCCCGCCUGGGAAGUAUGCUCGCAAGANUGAAACUCAAANNAAUUNGANNGGGCCCGCACAAGCGGNGGANCAUGNNGUUU